rnacentral:rRNA from 1 species
ACUCAAAUGAAUAGACGGGGACCCGCACAAGCAGCGGAGCGUGUGGUUUAAUUCGAUGCUACACGAAGAACCUCACCCAGGUUUGACAUACUAGUGGUAAUGAACCGAAAGGGGAAUGACCCGCAAGGGAGCUAGUACAGGUGUUGCAUGGCUGUCGUCAGCUCGUGUCGUGAGAUGUUCGUUUAAGUACGCUAACGAGCGCAACCCUUACUGCCAGUUACAAGUGUCUGGCGGGACUGCCGGCCACAAGCCGGAGGAAGGCGGGGAUGAUGUCAAGUCAGCAUGGCCUUUAUAUCUGGGGCUACACACACGCUACAAUGGGACGGUACAAUGGGUCGCCAAGCCGCGAGGUGGAGCCAAUCCCCAAAACGUCCCUCAGUUCAGAUUGCAGGCUGCAACCCGCCUGCAUGAAGUCGGAGUUGCUAGUAAACGCGCGUCAGCCAUAGUGCGUUGAAUACGUUCCCGGGUCUUGUACACACCGCCCGU